rnacentral:lncRNA from 1 species
AAACAAAACCAGAACCAAAAAAAACGAAAAAAAUAUAUCUAUAAAAAUCGACCCUCUAAGUCCGAACAUCAACUUAAAAAACAUAAAUACCGACCGUCUCUAGAGCAAGUGGCAAAGGGCUUGGUGGUUGGUAUCCAAGACCCAAGUUCGAAUCCUAGUUGAUUCACAUUUCCAGCUAAGUUUAUUUUUAAAUGAAAUAAACGAAGCGGAUAGCGUGCUAUCUAUCUCUCAAAAAAAAAAAAACUUAAAAAACAUAAAUCAAGCUUCUAAACUUGAAGUCUACGUU